GCUCAGAAACUUAAAGGAAUUGACGGGGCCCGCACAAGCGGUGGAGCAUGUGGUUAAUUCGAAGCAACGCGAAGAACCUUACCAGGCCUUGACAUGCAGAGAACUUUCCAGAGAUGGAUUGGUGCCUUCGGGAACUCUGACACAGGUGCUGCAUGGCUGUCGUCAGCUCGUGUCGUGAGAUGUUGGGUUAAGUCCCGUAACGAGCGCAACCCUUGCCUUUAGUUGCCAGCAGUUCGGCUGGGCACUCUAAAGGGACUGCCGGUGUUAAACCGGAGGAAGGUGGGGAUGACGUCAAGUCCUCAUGGCCUUUAUGACCAGGGCUACACACGUACUACAAUGGCCGAUACAAAGGGCAGCGACACUGCGAGGUGAAGCCAAUCCCGUAAAAUCGGUCUCAGUCCGGAUUGGAGUCUGCAACUCGACUCCAUGAAGUUGGAAUCGCUAGUAAUCGUGGAUCAGCAUGCCACGGUGAAUACGUUCCCGGGCCUU
rnacentral:rRNA from 1 species